UACGGGGGGGGGCAAGCGUUGUUCGGAAUUACUGGGCGUAAAGCGUGCGCAGGCGGUUUUGUAAGUCUGUCGUGAAAUCCCCGGGCUCAACCUGGGAAUUGCGAUGGAGACUGCAAGGCUAGAAUCUGGCAGAGGGGGGUAGAAUUCCACGUGUAGCAGUGAAAUGCGUAGAGAUGUGGAGGAACACCAAUUGCGAAGGCAGCUUACUACACAGUUAUUGACGCUGAGGCACGAAAGCGUGGGGAUCAAACAGG
rnacentral:rRNA from 1 species